ensembl:lncRNA
GCACUCCUGACACUACUUUACAUGCAUGUGGAAAGUUAACACAGUGAGGCCAUUGUAAUGGGAGACAUUAAACAGAUAGUGAGGCUCCUUCUGCUUAUCAGGGAUGUAAAUCCUUAGGUGAAGGCUAAGCAGAAAACAAGGUCAUAAUUCUCUCUGUGCGGGAGGAGGUAUAGCCCCCCGUGAGAGGGACCAACAUGUAAGAGUUUGAGGAAUGUUCUUUGUCUGUGUCUCUGUAUAUAAGAUGUAAGGGCGGUGGCCACAAUUCAGAGAUGGUCCUGGUGUUUCACUGGGAUGCGCUCUCCACAUUGCAAUGUGUUUAUUAAACCCACUUCAAAUCAAGCUCACUGGGUGUGUUGCAGGUUAUUGUUAAAAUUUCCAUAACAAUUUGGCGUCACGAACAGAAUUCCUCACGUGAGUUUCGCUGAAUCGCAGGUACGCGGUGACUGACCAUCCUGGGGGAAAAUUGCCCCAGUCCCACCGUUCUUUUGUUUUCAAAAAAGGGGGAACCGCUAGAGGCCUUCAGCGACUCACACAUGCAGGAAUUUAAUGAACUAUGAGGAAAGAAAUGGGAAAAGAAUCUGCAACGGUGAGCUGUUUUGAUUUGGGGGGAGUUUUCAAGCGGACCUCAAAAAGGGAAAACCUCAAAAAAGCGACACCUAAAUUAUGGAUUGUCGUGGGAAGGAUUUUUCUGUCCUUGGGAAGGACUCUUCUGUCCUUGGGUUUAUGGUUUUUAGCACUUUGUACCGAAGCAAAGGCUGCAGAGGGGACGCCCGGCUGCAAUGGGUGCUGAGCUCAGCAAAGCGGCUACAGGAGCUGUGGGGAGGUUGUGUCCCUAGAGGUGGUCUGGGUGAAAACUCCAAAUGGGUGAAGUAUGUGUUAUGUAAGAGAAAGAUGUUGACAGGGAUAAGAGUUUUUUGUUUGUUUGUAGUUUUUUUUAAGUUGUUGUUGGUUUUGUUGUUUUUUUGUUUUUUGUUUUGGAUGGACCACUGGGAGGGAAACCUCAGGAAUACGACGCGUGAUUUCAGGACUGUUGUGGGAAGGACUCUGUCCUUAGUUUAUGGUGUUUAACACUUUUGCACCACAAGGAAAAGGCUGGACGGCCAACGCGCUUCUCCACAAAGCUGAGGUCAGCAGUACAGCCACCUCCGGGUGGUCCGGGCAAAUCCAGGUUUUGAUUGCAUGAUUUUUUUUUCUCUUUCAGAAAUAUGGGAAAGAAUACAUGCAGUAUGAAGUGUGUAGAAACUGAGGAAUGCAGUAAAGAGAAGUGUGUGUGUGUGAGAAGUGCUGUGGGUGUGUGUAUAACCGAGAGUGAUGGAAAGAGAUGUGUUAAAAUGUGGAUAGAAGAAUAAGAGAGGGAAAGUGUUAAUGAGCAGUGAUGAAAAUGAUAUUAAAUAAAUGUUUUAGUGUGUUAGUACAGGUGGCUACGGAACUGGAUCAAUGUCCUCCACAAGCACAGCGGCCGGAGCAAAAUGAUAGAUUAACAUAAUUGGAACCACACCCAGCCCGUGUUUUGGCUGAAUAUUACACAGCUUCACUCCAUGUACACCUUACACUGAAGAACAAGCUUCGAGGACAAUCAAUCUCUCCCUGAAGACAAAAUGCAGUUUGAGAGCAACGGCGUCGACUUCAAGAGUCAACAAGGUGAACCGAACGCAGCACUGCCCUAAACCUUAAAGGGUUCAGCGGCAUGUACAAAUACCAUGGAUGAAUGGAAGCAUGCGCUCCCAAUCACAAGCUGGGAGGUUCACCAGCGACAUCACUGUGUGUGAAUGGACUUGAGAAGACUGUCUGAGUUUCACAUUUGCCAUACUGGGAGCUGAAAUGGCAGAGGAAGAGACUGAAAAGAGUGAAAGACAAAAGGCAAAGCUGAAGAAGAACGACCCACUGGGGCCCUGACAAGCCACAACUGUGAACUGCUGCAGAUGUGGGAGAGAGACAGAAGCUGUGAGAAGUGGGGAGAAGAGAGCAUGGAGGAAAAAUGAAGUCUGUUGUUGUUAAUGUGAGAACACAUGAAAAUUCGGUUGGAAAACUGUGGCCGACUGUCUUGUGGAGGAUGAUAAAGAGUCCGUAGGAUUGCAACAAAGGUCAGAUUUGUGGAGUGUGAGACUGAAAGUUGUCCUGUGGACAGACUCUCCCACCUGAGCUGUGGAUUUCUGCAGCUCCUCCAGAGUGACCAUGGGCCUCUUGGAAGCUUCUCUGACCAGUGCUCUCCUUACUCAGUCUGUCAGUUUAGGUGGACGGCCAUGUCUUGGCUAAGUGCCUUUUCUUUAGAUGAACUGCUGGACUUCCAGACCAGACCCCCCCCACACACACACACACACACACCCACUGAUGUAUAUAAAUAAAGAGCAGGGCAGUGGCAGGGCGCGAGUCUCGGAGCCCUCACUUCCGUGCGAGUGCUCUGUGGCUGCCCUUGCUGCAAGUAAAACUGUGUUUUUCUCCUCUCUGAGUCGAAGCUGAAGAAGUGUCUUAGAAUACAUCUCUUGACAAACCCUGCUUUAAACUUAUCUACAACUUUAUCCCUGACCUGUCUGGUGAGUUCCUUGGUCUUCAUGAUGCUGUUUGUUCACUAAUGUUCUCUAAAAAACCACUGAUGCCUUCACAGAGCAGGUGUAUUUAUAAUGACACAAACUCUAUUAUCUAAUUAGGUGACUUGUGAAGGGAAUUGAAUGCACUGGAUAUUAGUUUGGGGGUAUCAGAGUACAGAUGGGUGAAAACAAAUUCAGAUUUUAUUUGCUUAAAAUUGUAUGUAUCUUUUUCGUAUCAGUUCACAAUUAUGUGCUUCUUUGUAUUGGUCUAUCACAAAAAAUCUUAAUAGACAACAUCAAAUUUGUGGUUGUAAAUUGACAAAAUGUGUAGAAGUUCAACAGGUAUGAAUACUUUUUCAAGGUACUGUAAGCUCAGGCUUUGUUCAGUUUAAUUAGAAAUGUUGAAUUGACAAGUUCACAUGUAUCAUGUUGAAGGAAGUAAUUAGAGUAAAAUACAGCUUUAUUAUCCACUUGGCUUUGGUCCAGACUAAUAAUUGGUUCUUAGUGCAGUGGCACUUUGAAGUCGCUGUAAUGUGUUGGCAUGCUAAUAGUGCCUGUAAUAGAUUACUUUGGCUUGCACAAUAAAUGUGUAGCUUGCAAAGAACGAUGAAUAAAUGUUUUUAUUCUUCA